rnacentral:lncRNA from 1 species
UCUCUUUCCGCUGCCAUGUAAGAAGUGCCUUUUGCCUCCCACUAUCAUUCUGAGGCCUUCCCACCCAUGUGGAACUCUGAACUCACAAGAAAAUAAGGAAGACCUCCUGGAGGGAAAACAAGCAAGAACUGAAAACAAGUGCCGUCAGUGAAUGGAAUGAGAUUUCUCAAGCAUGUACCCUGUGACAGUCACUUCACUAAAAAUCAGAAACUCAAACAUGGAACUGGAUGCUAGUUCUGUCCUCAAGAAGCUCAGAGUCUUUCAGAAAAAGAGGAGCCGUGAGACAAAUUACCAAGUGCAAGCUCAGAAGCCUUGCGUUUGUGGUGAGAGAUGAAGAGGGAGUUUGUAAAGAUGUGAAAGCAGGGUCUUUCUCCUUGAAGUUCUGGGGAGGAAUUGUAAAUCUGUUUGUCUAUUGCCAAAGAAUACUUGCCUUGGAAACUAGAGAGAGCCUCAGAUUCAGUCUCAGUGAUAAAGUGCUUCUAAACUGGGUCAGGGACAAAAACAAAGGACAGACGAUACCAUAAAUAAUGAACUUAUGGGGCAGAAAGUGUCAGCUCAAGUAUUUAGAGGCUCUCUACAAGGAAAAGGAAACUAGGAAUGUAAUGAUUUCAUGAGAGGUUUUGGAAGCCUUCAAAAUCAAUAAAUCAAUUAAUUAUUUAGUUCAGUACUUUUCUCUCUUACUAGCAUAUUAUGAUUUCCCCAACUUCAUCUCUCCCUGGUCAUAUCUGUCCUCUACAAUAUUCCAAGGUUGAUCUUUCUGGGAUAAUAUUUUGAUCUUGUUACUCUCCUUUUAAGAAUAAAGGUAAAAUUUAAAUGGUCA